rnacentral:rRNA from 1 species
GACGAACGCUGGCGGCGUGCUUAACACAUGCAAGUCGAACGGGCUACUCUCUUCGGGGGGUGGUUAGUGGCGAACGGGUGAGUAACACGUGGGUAACCUGCCCCAGGCUCUGGGAUAACUCCGGGAAACCGGGGCUAAUACCGGAUAUGACCCUGGCCCGCAUGGGCUCGGGGUGGAAAGUUUUUCGGUCUGGGAUGGGCCCGCGGCCUAUCAGCUUGUUGGUGGGGUGAUGGCCUACCAAGGCGGUGACGGGUAGCCGGCCUGAGAGGGCGACCGGCCACACUGGGACUGAGACACGGCCCAGACUCCUGCGGGAGGCAGCAGUGGGGAAUAUUGCGCAAUGGGCGGAAGCCUGACGCAGCGACGCCGCGUGAGGGAUGACGGCCUUCGGGUUGUAAACCUCUUUCAGCCCCGACCAAGGCGGCUUUCGGGUUGUUGAGUGUAGGAGUAGAAGA